CACUAAGAAGCUAACAUACAGCACUAGCCUUUUAAGCUAGAGAGGGAAACAAUUUCCCUUAGUGA
rnacentral:tRNA from 1 species